rnacentral:rRNA from 1 species
UACAGAGGUCCCAAGCGUUGUUCGGAUUCACUGGGCUUAAAGGGUGCGUAGGCGGCUCGCCAAGUGCUUUGUGAAAUCCCACAGCUCAACUGUGGAACAGCAGGGCAAACUGGCGAGCUUGAGGCAGGUAGGGGCCGGAAGAACAGUUGGUGGAGCGGUGAAAUGCGUAGAUAUCAACUGGAAUGCCGAUGGGGAAGCCGUCCGGCUGGGCCUGUCCUGACGCUGAGGCACGAAAGCGUGGGGAGCAAACAGG